rnacentral:rRNA from 1 species
CCUACGGGUGGCAGCAGUGAGGAAUAUUGCGCAAUGGGCGAAAGCCUGACGCAGCGACGCCGCGUGAGGGAUGAAGGUCUUCGGAGCGUAAACCUCUGUCAGCAGGGAAGAACGGUCACUGUGCUAAUCAGCAGUGAAUUGACGGUACCUGCAAAGGAAGCACCCGCUAACUCCGUGCCAGCAGCCGCGGUCAUACUGAGGGUGCGAGCGUUAAUCGGAAUUACUGGGCGUAAAGCGCUCGUAGGCGGUAUGUCAAGUCACGGGGGAAAUCCCCGCGCUCAACGUGGGAACUGCCUUUGAAACUGGCAAACUGGAGUGUGUGAGAGGAUAGUGGAAUUCCAGGUGUAGGAGUGAAAUCCGUAGAUAUCUGGAGGAACAUCAGUGGCGAAGGCGACUAUCUGGCACAUAACUGACGCUGAGGAGCGAAAGCGUGGGUAGCAAACAGGAUUAGAUACCCUAGUAGUC